GGGGGCGCAAAGGUUUCGACGGGAUUGGAUGAGCUGAUAGUAGCAUGCCGAGGAUUCUAGUUGGCCUCGUAAAAAAACUGGAAAAAAACAAAUGCAGAAGAAUCAUAUUCUUAUGCAAUGGCUGCCUAGUCUAAAAACUAGGUGACCACGGUUCGGCUGUCGCCGCCUUAAAGGCAGUCGGAUUGCAAUACUCUGAGGCUGGGUCUCCCUGAUGUCUGGGCGGGGAGGCCGAGAAAAGCCAGGCUAGCGACCCGACCAACCGAUUCCUAGGGUGGGUUGGGAAGCGAAAUACAAAUCAGGAAAAAAGCAUGUAGGAGCGUUCGGUAAGUUGAUUUCGGACGCGGGUUCGAUUCCCGCCGCCUCCACCA
rnacentral:tmRNA from 1 species